GACGAACGCUGGCGGCGUGCUUAACACAUGCAAGUCGAGCGGGCGUAGCAAUACGUCAGCGGCAGACGGGUGAGUAACGCGUGGGAACAUACCUUUUGGUUCGGAACAACACAGGGAAACUUGUGCUAAUACCGGAUAAGCCCUUACGGGGAAAGAUUUAUCGCCGAAAGAUUGGCCCGCGUCUGAUUAGCUAGUUGGUGAGGUAACGGCUCACCAAGGCGACGAUCAGUAGCUGGUCNGAGAGGAUGAUCAGCCACAUUGGGACUGAGACACGGCCCAAA
rnacentral:rRNA from 1 species